UAUGAGAGUUUGAUCCUGGCUCAGGACGAACGCUGGCGGCGUGCCUAAUACAUGCAAGUCGAACGCUUCUUUUCCCACCGGAGCUUGCUCCACCGGGAAAAGAGGAGUGGCGAACGGGUGAGUAACACGUGGGUAACCUGCCCAUCAGAAGGGGAUAACACUUGGAAACAGGUGCUAAUACCGUAUAACAAUCGAAACCGCAUGGUUUCAAUUUGAAAGGCGCUUUACGGUGCCGCUGAUGGAUGGACCCGCGGUGCAUUAGCUAGUUGGUGAGGUAACGGCUCACCAAGGCAACGAUGCAUAGCCGACCUGAGAGGGUGAUCGGCCACAUUGGGACUGAGACACGGCCCAAACUCCUACGGGAGGCAGCAGUAGGGAAUCUUCGGCAAUGGACGAAAGUCUGACCGAGCAACGCCGCGUGAGUGAAGAAGGUUUUCGGAUCGUAAAACUCUGUUGUUAGAGAAGAACAAGGGUGAGAGUAACUGUUCACCCCUUGACGGUAUCUAACCAGAAAGCCACGGCUAACUACGUGCCAGCAGCCGCGGUAAUACGUAGGUGGCAAGCGUUGUCCGGAUUUAUUGGGCGUAAAGCGAGCGCAGGCGGUUUCUUAAGUCUGAUGUGAAAGCCCCCGGCUCAACCGGGGAGGGUCAUUGGAAACUGGGAGACUUGAGUGCAGAAGAGGAGAGUGGAAUUCCAUGUGUAGCGGUGAAAUGCGUAGAUAUAUGGAGGAACACCAGUGGCGAAGGCGGCUCUCUGGUCUGUAACUGACGCUGAGGCUCGAAAGCGUGGGGAGCAAACAGGAUUAGAUACCCUGGUAGUCCACGCCGUAAACGAUGAGUGCUAAGUGUUGGAGGGUUUCCGCCCUUCAGUGCUGCAGCUAACGCAUUAAGCACUCCGCCUGGGGAGUACGACCGCAAGGUUGAAACUCAAAGGAAUUGACGGGGGCCCGCACAAGCGGUGGAGCAUGUGGUUUAAUUCGAAGCAACGCGAAGAACCUUACCAGGUCUUGACAUCCUUUGACCACUCUAGAGAUAGAGCUUCCCCUUCGGGGGCAAAGUGACAGGUGGUGCAUGGUUGUCGUCAGCUCGUGUCGUGAGAUGUUGGGUUAAGUCCCGCAACGAGCGCAACCCUUAUUGUUAGUUGCCAUCAUUUAGUUGGGCACUCUAGCAAGACUGCCGGUGACAAACCGGAGGAAGGUGGGGAUGACGUCAAAUCAUCAUGCCCCUUAUGACCUGGGCUACACACGUGCUACAAUGGGAAGUACAACGAGUCGCAAAGUCGCGAGGCUAAGCUAAUCUCUUAAAGCUUCUCUCAGUUCGGAUUGUAGGCUGCAACUCGCCUACAUGAAGCCGGAAUCGCUAGUAAUCGCGGAUCAGCACGCCGCGGUGAAUACGUUCCCGGGCCUUGUACACACCGCCCGUCACACCACGAGAGUUUGUAACACCCGAAGUCGGUGAGGUAACCUUUUUGGAGCCAGCCGCCUAAGGUGGGAUAGAUGAUUGGGGUGAAGUCGUAACAAGGUAGCCGUAUCGGAAGGUGCGGCUGGAUCACCUCCUUUCUAAGGAA
rnacentral:rRNA from 1 species